CCUGCAGUAAGACACAGAGACAUGGAGGAGACAUAUUAUAGACCUGCAGUAAGACACUGAGACAUGGAGGAGACAUAUUAUAGACCUGCAGUAAGACACUGAGACAUAUUAUAGACCUGCAGUAAGACACAGAGACAUGGAGGAGAGGACACAUAUUAUAGACCUGCAGUAAGACACAGAGACAUGGAGGAGAAAUAUUAUUGACCUGCAGUAAGACACAGAGACAUGGAGGAGACAUAUUAUAGACCUGCAGUAAGACACUGAGACAUGGAGGAGAGGAGACAUAUUAUAGACCUGCAGUAAGACACAGAGACAUGGAGGAGACAUAUUAUAGACCUGCAGUAAGACACAGAGACAUGGAGGAGACAUAUUAUAGACCUGCAGUAAGACACUGAGACAUGGAGGAGACAUAUUAUAGACCUGCAGUAAGACACAGAGACAUGGAGGAGACAUAUUAUAGACCUGCAGUAAGACACAGAGACAUGGAGGAGAGGAGACAUAUUAUAGACCUGAAGUAAGACACAGAGACAUGGAGGAGACAUAUUAUAGACCUGCAGUAAGACACAGAGACAUGGAGGAGAGGAGACAUAUUAUAGACCUGCAGUAAGACACAGAGACAUGGAGGAGAGGAGACAUAUUAUAGACCUGCAGUAAGACACAGAGACAUGGAGGAGACAUAUUAUAGACCUGCAGUAAGACACUGAGACAUGGAGGAGAGGAGACAUAAACAAGACUAACCUUGGUUUUGUUUGUUAUCUUGAGGACAGACAGAGAGAGGUAUAAAACAGAAAGGGUCUUGGGUAAAGGAGAGAAACACGUCUCCAUCAGUAUCCUACAUGCAGUAGCCUUGCCCAUCACUUUCAUUUGGUGCAGUUGAGUUGGACUUAUCUGGACUGAGGAAGUUGAGUUGGACUUAUCUGGCCUGAGGAAGUUGAGUUGGACUUAUCGGGACUGAGGAAGUUGAGUUGGACUUAUCUGGCCUGAGGAAGUUGGACUUAUCUGGACUGAGGAAGUUGGACUUAUCUGGACUGAGGAAGUUGGACUUAUCUGGCCUGAGGAAGUUGGACUUAUCUGGACUGAGGAAUUGGACUUAUCUGGCCUGAGGAAGUUGGACUUAUCUGGCCUGAGGAAGUUGGGCUUAUCUGGCCUGAGGAAGUUGGACUUAUCUGGACUGAGGAAGUUGGACUUAUCUGGACUGAGGAAGUUGGACUUAUCUUGCCUGAGGAAGUUGAGUUGGACUUAUCUGACCUGAGGAAGUUGGACUUAUCUGGCAUGAGGAAGUUGGACUUAUCUGGCCUGAGGAAGUUGGACUUAUCUGGCCUGAGGAAGUUGAACUUAUCUGGCCUGAGGAAGUUGAGGGUGAUCAGAUGGAUAAAUGAUUGGACUGGAUAGCCUGGUUUCCCAUCUGGGAACAAGAAGGGUCUUAAAAGCAGGAAUAAUAACAGGAACAAUAACAGGAAUACUGGGAUAUGGGCUCUAGUUAUUCCGACAGCUGACAGAAUGUGAUUAGAUCCCAAAUGGCCCCCUGAUAUCCAUCCUGGUAGAGGAGUAUCCCAUGUGAAAGGUAACUAACCACUCACUCAGCUCUGACAGUUGGACUCUUCCUUCAUUCAGUCCACUUGUUUUUGUUAGUUGACAC
ensembl:lncRNA